rnacentral:lncRNA from 1 species
UUGAAUUUGCCCUGUGGACACUGAAACUCAGAAAAGAUUCUCCAGUGAGGGACUGAAAUCCUAACCUGAAACCUUAGUCUCUAUAACCAUCACCCUCCUACAAGCUACCAGAAUCUUUGGUGACUGCCUACAAGGAAAGCUACCAAUUUUCCUGCUACCAGAAUUCUCUGACUCCAUGUAUUACCACCUGAGAGAAGAACAUCCACUAGUAGACUCCAACCUGACUUUCACUUUGAUCUUCCUUAUAUCAUUUUCUACUUAAAUCUCUCCUAAUCACCUUUCCUGACUUGGGGACUAGGGAAGAGAUUGCUUUAUGACUCAAAGGAAAACAGUUCAAUACAACAGAAAAAGCAAUAAAACUGCAGUCAGGGGAUCUGAGUUUGAAUCCUCAUUAAGCCACCUGAGCAACCCCCCCUUUUUUUUUGACUGAAGGGAGCUAAAGUAUAAACAUUAUCCCAUGAUGAAUAAGAAACCACAGCAGCAGAAGACAGCUCCAGCAGACAGCAUUUUAGCAUAAGGAAUCAGGAAUGGUCAGACAGAACUGGAAAGACCUGCAUGAACUGUUGUAUAGUGAAUUAAGCAGAACCAGAAGAAUAUUGUACCCAGUAACUGAAACAUUAUGGGAUGAUUCAAAUGUGACUGACUGCUGCCAAAAGCAAUGCAAUGACCCAGGACAAUUCUAAGGAUUUAUGAAAAGGAACGCUAUCCACCUCUAGAGAAAGAACUGUGGGAGUAGAAAUGCAGAAAAGAUAUGAUUUAUCACUUGUUUAUAUGGGUCUAUGAUUUGGAGUUUUGGUUUUAAAAGAUUACUCUUUAUUACAAAAAUAAUAACAUGAAAAUAGGAUUCGAGUAAUAAUAUAUGUAUAACCCAGUGAAAUUGCUUGCCAACUCUGGAAGGAGGAAGGGAAGAGGGAGGGAAACAACAAGAAUUAUAUAACCAUGAGGAAAAAAAUAAAAAUAAAAUCAAAUAAUCA